rnacentral:rRNA from 1 species
CUACGGGAGGCACCAGUGGGGAAUAUUGGACAAUGGGCGCAAGCCUGAUCCAGCAAUGCCGCGUGAGUGAAGACGGCCUUAGGGUUGUAAAACUCUUUCGCUAGGGAAGAUAAUGACUGUACCUAGUAAAGAAGUCCCGGCUAACUCCGUGCCAGCAGCCGCGGUAAUACGGAGGGGACUAGCGUUGUUCGGAAUUACUGGGCGUAAAGAGUUCGUAGGCGGACUGACAAGUUAGAGGUGAAAUCCCAGGGCUCAACCCUGGAACUGCCUUUAAAACUGUCAGUCUAGAGACCGGAAGAGGUUAGGGGAAUACCUAGUGUAGAGGUGAAAUUCGUAGAUAUUAGGUGGAACACCAGUGGCGAAGGCGCCUAACUGGUCCGGUACUGACGCUGAGGAACGAAAGCGUGGGGAGUAAACAGGAUUUGAUACCCCCGUAGUC